UUUAGGUACAUCGUGUGUUACUACCCUAAAGGGCGUCUUUGUUUAGUUAUUUUAUGUUACAUUAUUUUAUGCUUGGAAUGGGAUGUUUUCCUAAUGACAUCGUGUAUUACUACCCUAAAGCGUUGGAGAAUAAACCGCCUCCAAGGUUUCAGCCACAAGUCCGAACCCUGUGUCCAGUGUCCUCCCUUUCCGCACAACACCCCUGCUACCAUCCAACAAAACACAACGCAGAGUCCAAGGGGUCGCAGAGAGCCGUGCUGAGGAUACACAGAGCGGGUUACUGUGACAACCCCUGAGCGGGCUGUAUUUUGUCCGUCUCUGGGGACUUUACUUUUUGCUUCCAGCUCUGUCUCUUGUUCUGCCUCCUUCUUCUUCUCUCCGCCUCUGUCCUCCGUUUCUCAGGUGGCCAGUAUGCUGCUCCGGUCCUCCCGCGGUACCUGGCGGGGCCGUGGCCCGUUUGGGCUUAAAUACCAGGCCUUCUCCACCUGCGGGGCUCUUCGCGCCGGCCUGCUCACUGGCAGCACUCCGUGUCCUUUGUUUAUGCACUCAUUAGUUUUUCCACUUUUGCUUUCCCACGCAUCACCUCUCUACAACCAACACUUCCACACACUACUGAUGCUACAGAUUGUACACAUAGGUUACACUGUUAAGCACCGUUUAUUUACUUUAGUCACCGUUUCUUAAUAAAUCAUACUCUAAUUGGCA